CUACGGAGGGUGCAAGCGUUACUCGGAAUCACUGGGCGUAAAGCGCGCGCAGGCGGCUUGAUAAGUUGGAUGUGAAAGCCUACGGCUCAACCGUAGAACUGCAUCCAAAACUGUCAAGCUCGAGUCUGGGAGGGGAAGAUGGAAUUAGUUGUGUAGGGGUAAAAUCCGUAGAGAUAACUAGGAAUACCAAAAGCGAAGGCGAUCUUCUGGAACAGUACUGACGCUGAGGCGCGAAAGCGUGGGGAGCAAACAGGAUUAGAAACCCUAGUAGUCC
rnacentral:rRNA from 1 species